rnacentral:rRNA from 1 species
CUUGGUCAUUUAGAGGAAGUAAAAGUCGUAACAAGGUUUCCGUAGGUGAACCUGCGGAAGGAUCAUUCACAAUAAGUGUUUUAUGGCACUUUUUAAAUCCAUAUCCACCUUGUGUGCAAUGUCAGUCGAUCUUCUUCAUGGAGAUCGGCCAAACAUCAACCUUAUUUUUUAACUCUUUGUCUGAAAAAUAUUAUGAAUAAACAAUUCAAAAUACAACUUUCAACAACGGAUCUCUUGGCUCUCGCAUCGAUGAAGAACGCAGCGAAAUGCGAUACGUAAUGUGAAUUGCAGAAUUCAGUGAAUCAUCGAAUCUUUGAACGCAUAUUGCGCUCUUUGGUAUUCCGAAGAGCAUGCCUGUUUGAGUAUCAGUAAACACCUCAAAGCUUUUGGAUUUUUUUUGAAAGCUUUGGACUUGAGCAAUCCCAACGCCAAUCUUUUUCAGAUCGGCGGCGGGUUGCUUGAAAUGCAGGUGCAGCUGGACUUUCUCCUGAGCUAAAAGCAUAUUCAUUUAGUCCCGUCAAACGGAUUAUUACUUUUGCUGCAGCUAACAUAAAGGGAGUUUGACCGUAUUGGCUGACUGAUGCAGGAUUUUACAAGGGUCGGCAACGAUUCUUGUUAAACUCGAUCUCAAAUCAAGUAAGACUACCCGCUGAACUUAAGCAUAUCAAUAAGCGGAGGA